rnacentral:rRNA from 1 species
GAUGAACGCUGGCGGCGUGCCUAAUACAUGCAAGUCGAGCGAACAGACGAGGAGCUUGCUCCUCUGACGUUAGCGGCGGACGGGUGAGUAACACGUGGAUAACCUACCUAUAAGACUGGGAUAACUUCGGGAAACCGGAGCUAAUACCGGAUAAUAUAUUGAACCGCAUGGUUCAAUAGUGAAAGACGGUUUUGCUGUCACUUAUAGAUGGAUCCGCGCCGCAUUAGCUAGUUGGUAAGGUAACGGCUUACCAAGGCAACGAUGCGUAGCCGACCUGAGAGGGUGCUCGGCCACACUGGACCUGAGACACGGUCCAGACUCCUACGGGAGGCAGCAGUAGGGAAUCUUCCGCAAUGGGCGAAAGCCUGACGGAGCAACGCCGCGUCAUUGAUGAAGAUCUUCGGAUCGUAAAACUCUGUUAUUAGGGAAGAACAAAUGUGUAAGUAACUAUGCACGUCUUGACGGUACCUAAUCAGAAAGCCACGGCUAACUACGUG